AAUAGAAUGAAGGAGCUUCCUUCUGCCCAACCAUGGAUAUAUGUGAGGGAAGCCUUUGUUGCAAAAAUAAACUAUUAUUCAUUCAUUCAUAUAUAAUUAUGUGAAUGAAGUGGAAGAUGUAUAUUUUGCAGCCUUCUUUGGCUAUGUUUGGACUGAAGGGAGCUCCUUCUUUCUGUUGC
rnacentral:pre_miRNA from 1 species